UUUGUUAGAUUUGAAGGCAGUAUAUGGAGGUGUUGCUGUACUUACCUUCGUUAGAUUUGAAGGCAGUAUACGGAGGUGUUGCUGUAGUGACCUUUGUUAGAUUUGAAGAAAUGAUGCUGUAGAGAUUGUUGUUUCGUCCACUCUAAAGUGUUAAACUGUGACUACUUAUCAGUGGAAAUGUUCAGGAAAUAUAAUCUUGUGGAUGACACGUCUAGUCAGCAGCUAGGUAAAGUUUUAAAAUUGUUGUUUUUGUGAUUUUGUAUUUUUAACCUAGAUAAGUUUAUUAUCGGUUUUUCCUAAAUGUUGGAAUGUCCAUGAUUAUGUUAUUUACAAAGACUGAGUUUAAACUUUCUAAUUGAUUUCACAGUCAUUUUCCAACAAUGCUUCUUUAAUAUCGUUCUACUACAAGAAUUGAUAACAUUUACUGCUAUAUAUCUGCCUGCUUAACUGGUAAAACAAUGAAAUCAUACCUGUUACAGGAUUAUUUAAUCAGUAAUUUGUGUGUUGGAGAGCAAUUUAUGUUUUCAUUUACAUCAAUUUCUAAUGUAUCCAGAAAUUGGUUUUUGUUCAUCUCUGAGCACAUUCUUUUCUUUUGUCUCUUUAAUCCUUAAACUCAUAAAAACCUCUUGAAAGUUCACUUCUGACUUUGUCCUGGUUCUUGGGUUGAACUCCUGUCAUUCAGACUCCAUGAGAAUUUCUGUAAGUGUGGGUCCUUCCCGUCAGUAUUCCUGGAUAGGCCUCUGAGUAUCAUUGCACCAGUAUUGGUGACCAGGAUAUAAGUCAUAAAAAGCAGUGAUUCUAUAACUCACCCAGUAGUAUACAAACAACAGUACUUAUGGGAUGGAGAGCAUCUAUUCAUAUUUUAUCCUCACAGAUUUCAUUUUCAUCAGUGUACAAUUGUUUCACUUCCUUUUUUAAAUAUUUUUACACCAUGUGUGACUUAAUUAACUCAUUCACCCCUGAAGACACAUUUGAACUCUUCCAAUUCAAAAGUUGGAAUAGUACAUCAUAAAAUUUCAGGGGUGAAUGAGUUAAGCUAGUUUGAUAGUUCUGUAGAGAAGGGCUUCCAUCAACUAUUACAUUGUUAGUUGACAGUAACUGUUAAAUGUGGUAAUUCUACAGUCACAUUUAAAUCAUAAUUUUUCAGAUCAUAAUCUGCGACAUAGAAUUAUUCUAGAGUAUUAACUCAUUCACCCCUGAAGACACAUUUGAACUCUUCCAAUUCAAAUAUUUCAAUAGUUCAUUAUGAAAUUUCAGGGGUGAAUGAGUUAAAUGGAAUAACAACUUUGUACAGGAAAAUGAAAUAGAAAUGAAUACUAAAUUUGUUUAAAGAUGGAAUUUUACUGUUUUCUUUGAUUUAUUUGUUUUAUAUACUUAACUUCGAUGUCAGAAAUUUUCCAGAUGUUUCCUUUACUUUGUAAGUUUUUGACGUGUAAGGUAAUAAAUCUCUAUGCAAUUUUGGCAACAAGUUGUAUUUGACUUCUGAUUGAAGUUUAUAAGUCAUGUUUAAACACAGAGAUUUGUAACGUUUAGGUAUAUGGGACCUAUUUCUAGAAGUCCAGAAAAAAACACCUGUAUAAAUCCCUGUGGUUCCCAAACUUAAGUGCUGAGAAAGGGAGCUGAUAGAGAAACGGGUGUGCUUGUGUUACAUAUUGGAUAAGGUAUUAAGUGCUGUUAUAUGUGUUAAGUGCUGUUAUAUGUGUAAGUGCUGUAUUUUACUGUGAUCAUUUACUACAAAACUUCUAUUACUGACAUUGAAAAUACGGACAGUACAGGUAAGUGUUCUACUUUGGUGUUUUCUCACUGUAAAUAUGGAUUGUAAACUUCAUUGAAGUCAUGUGCUUGUUGUAUACUGUACAUAUUGUAUAUAGCUUAGCUCACUCACACAGGAGCCGUUGAACUGUAUAAUCAUCACACAAGUGAGCUCAAUUUUUUUAGGAUUGAGAGUGAGCUGUAUAAUUUUUGUCACAUUCUGGGUGAUCAUCCUGUGGUUCAUGUUCCCCUGGGUGAUCAUCUUAUGGUAUAUGUUUCCCUGGGUGAUCAUCUUGUGGUACAUGUUCCCCUGGGUGAUCAUCCUGUGGUACAUGUUCCCCUGGGUGAUCAUCUUGUGGUACAUGUUCCCCUGGGUGAUCAUCCUGUGGUACAUGUUCCCCUGGGUGAUCAUCUUGUGGUACAUGUUCCCCUGGGUGAUCAUCCUGUGGUACAUGUUCCCCUGGGUGAUCAUCUUGUGGUACAUGUUCCCCUGGGUGAUCAUCCUGUGGUACAUGUUCCCCUGGGUGAUCAUCUUGUGGUACAUGUUCCCCUGGGUGAUCAUCCUGUGGUACAUGUUCCCCUGGGUGAUCAUCUUGUGGUACAUGUUCCCCUGGGUGAUCAUCCUGUGGUACAUGUUCCCCUGGGUGAUCAUCUUGUGGUACAUGUUCCCCUGGGUGAUCAUCCUGUGGUACAUGUUCCCCUGGGUGAUCAUCUUGUGGUACAUGUUCCCCUGGGUGAUCAUCCUGUGGUUCAUGUUCCCCUGGGUGAUCAUCGUGUGGUACAUGUUCCUCAGAGUGAUUAUUCUGAGGUACAUGUUCCCCUGGGUGAUCAUCUUAUGGUACAUGUUCCCCUGGGUGAUCAUCUUAUGGUACAUGUUCCCAUGGGUGAUAAUCUUGAGGUACAUGUUCCCCUGGGUGAUUAUUCUGAGGUACAUGUUCCCCUGGGUGAUUAUUCUGAGGUACAUGUUCCCCUGGGUGAUUAUUCUGUGGUUCAUGUUCCCCUGGGUGAUCAUCGUGUGGUACAUGUUCCUCAGAGUGAUUAUUCUGAGGUACAUGUUCCCCUGGGUGAUCAUUGUGUGGUACAUGUUCCCCUUGGUGAUUAAUCUGUGGUACAUGUUCCCCUGGGUAAUUAUCCUAUAGUACAUGUUUCCCCGGGUGAUCAUUGUGUGGUACAUGUGCCCCUUGGUGAUUUAUCUGUGGUACAUGUUCCCCUGGGUAAUUAUCCUAUAGUACUUGUUACCCCGGGUGAUUAUUCUGAGGUACAUGUUCCCCUGGGUGAUUAUUCUGUGGUUCAUGUUCCCCUGGGUGAUCAUCGUGUGGUACAUGUUCCUCAGAGUGAUUAUUCUGAGGUACAUGUUCCCCUGGGUGAUCAUUGUGUGGUACAUGUUCCCCUUGGUGAUUAAUCUGUGGUACAUGUUCCCCUGGGUAAUUAUCCUAUAGUACAUGUUUCCCCGGGUGAUCAUUGUGUGGUACAUGUGCCCCUUGGUGAUUUAUCUGUGGUACAUGUUCCCCUGGGUAAUUAUCCUAUAGUACAUGUUCCCCUGGGUGAUCAUUGUGUGGUACAUGUUCCCCUUGGUGAUUAAUCUGUGGUACAUGUUCCCCUGGGUAAUUAUCCUAUAGUACAUGUUUCCCCGGGCGAUCAUUGUGUGGUACAUGUGCCCCUUGGUGUUUUAUCUGUGGUACAUGUUCCCCUGGGUAAUUAUCCUAUAGUACAUGUUUCCCCGGGCGAUCAUUGUGUGGUACAUGUGCCCCUUGGUGAUUUAUCUGUGUUACAUGUUCCCCUGGGUAAUUAUCCUAUAGUACAUGUUCCCCCGGGUGAUCAUUGUGUGGUACAUGUUCCCCUUGGUGAUUAAUCUGUGGUACAUGUUCCUAUGGGUGAUUUAUCUGUGGUACAUGUUCCCCUUGGUUAUUCAUCUGUGGUACAUGUUCCCAUGGGGGAUUAUCCUGAGCUUCAUGUUGCCUUGGGUUAUUAUACUGUGGGCACGUUCCGUGGACAUUUUCUCUGGUAAAAUGUAAUUGUUACUACAGAGCUGUACAUAUAUUUGAUUUAAUUCAACUUUGCUUCUUUAUUACAAAAAAAAUCAUGUUGAAUGAUGAACAAAUGAAAUAAAAAAUAAGAGAAAUUCAAUAGUUGUUUUUUAUUGUCCAUAGAUGGUUCUUUUCUUAGCCUGUUACAGAAUGUAUUCUUCUCCAACCUAUGCUAUGGAAAAGAUGGCUCCUGCCUAUUUCACUUAUUAUGGAACUUCUUUACCUCAAUUAAUCCAUAAAUAUUCAAAUAAUGUCACAUCAUUUUACUGAGCUUGAGUUGCACAAGGAAAGCUACAGGCACUCUGGUAAAAAAUAAAAUAAAUAACUUAAAGUAUCCUUUUAGAUGUCAUAUACAUAUUUCAACUGUAUUUACAAUGAGCAGAAUUUUAAGCUCUGAUGUCAUCAGUGUGAGCUAUUGACAUGCCCUUUCGUUCGGUGUCCAUUAUCCUUUCUACAUAAUAAACUUAAAACUUUUUCUAACCAAUUUUGCCCAAUACCUAGUUAGAAUGAUGAGUGCAUAGGUCUGACUGAUUCUUGUUAUUUUGGGGCUGAUUUAUGAUCCAAUAUGGCAGCCAAUUUUUAAAUCUAUUUGGAAUUAUAACUUGAAUCUACGGAAGUAAUUUGUCCAAAACUUAGAUGGAAAGAUCAGCACACAGACCUAACCCAUUCUUGUUUUCGCCAUAAACUGUUCAUAUUAUUCUGCUCUCACUUCGAUGGAAAUUGAGCUAAACACAUAGUCUAACCAAAGUGAAGCUGAAAAUAUAGGUCACAAUGACCUACCUAAUUUGAUUAAUGUAAUACUCCUUGAACUGUAUCACAUAUGAAGUUUGAUGAAUGUUGGACCUAGUAUGGGCAGAUCUACAUAAAAGUCCAACACUAAAUGUGACUAUAAUAAUCACAAGCUUGAGAACACAUCUCUUUUAUGCGUCUCCCACAUCCGCGGACAUGUCAAGGGCAAUAACUCUUCUAAGACUGAGAAACAGGACACCAGUACGUUGUUUCUGCUGUAGUAAAACCUCACUUAGAUAUAAAAAACAAAGGUAGGAUUACUUAUUUUCACAUUUUGUAGCUUUUAAUCACUUGUGGUUCAAGUAAAGAAAUACAAUGGUAUCACAGUAAGGGUUAAUGAUAUGUUGGACGUAAUUCACUAUCUUGGACCACCAUGGUCGGGAAUAGUUCACAAGAAAAAACAUAUAUACACAACAUACAUAAAACACAUGAUAAUGAUGUAUCAACAAUUAAGACAUCAGACAUGCCACCU